UAAAUGGCUUUUUUUAAAGCUACAUACAAACAAAAGAAACCAACUU
rfam:Pelodiscus sinensis unplaced genomic scaffold scaffold16, whole genome shotgun sequence.